GACGGGGGAUGCAAGCGUUAUCCGGACUCACUGGGCGUAAAACGUCUGUAGGUGGUGAUGCAAGUCACUGGUGCAAAACUCUGGCUCAACCGGAGGAAAGCCAGUGAAACUGCAUGACUAGAGUGUGGGAGAGGUAGAAGGAAUUCCCUGAGUAGCGGUGAAAUGCGUAGAUACAGGGAAGAACACCGGAGGCGAAAGCGUUCUACUGGAACACAACUGACACUGAGAGACGGAAGCUUGGUGAGCGAAGGGG
rnacentral:rRNA from 1 species